AUGUCAUCUCACAUAACUUCCUAUAUUCUGUCAGUGGAUUCACGUGUUGUUCUGACCUCAUUGCCUUUCAAAAUAUCUUUGUUCCACAGAAAAGAGAAAAGAUUUAGAACCACAGAACAGUCUUUUUUUUUAAAAUCAUUUUAUAGUUUUUCUCAGUCGCUUUGGUGCAUUUCUCAAAUCAGAAAUGAAAUUCUCAAAACUACUUGUACAACCUCCACAUCAUCUAGUCAUUUAUACACAUCAUAAAACCAGUUUCUAAUUUUUCUGAACAAGUUGCAAUUGCUUUUGUACAUUCAUGCAAUUGAUUAUGCACAUUUAUCUGCAGUUUCCUACAUUAUCAGUUGCUAAUGUUAUGUUGCUCAAAAUGUAUAAUAUAGUUUUCUGUGCAAUAGUCUUACCUCUCAAAAAACAUCUAGUCUUUAGUUCAUCGUAUAAGUCAUUAAAUGCAAAAUGGUUCAACUAGUCGUCAUAAACUGCCAAGCACAUUUUUUCUUAAACAUUAUUUUUAGACUUUUUAUAAAUUUGGCAUGAAUUGUGCAAGUGAAUCUUGACUAAUGAAGAGAAUGUAGAUCAACCAAUGAUAAACCAUUUUCCGAAAUAGCUCAAAGGUUCAUCUCAUGAAUCUUCAGUUGGAAAGCAUACACUGCAUAGACAGAGGACAACACAAGAGUUACAAAUUCUGACAAUGGACUUAUUUUUUAUUUUCAUCUUUGUGCCCAUAUAUCUUUUUCCUUUUCUAUAUCACAGUGACAGUGUAAAGGUUUUUUUUUUUUUUUUGUAGUAAAAGUGUAACUGGGAAUUCUAUCCUGUCUCUUUCAAUCAUUAUCCCACAUACAGUAAUGUGUAAAUUUCUACUUUUGAAAUGAAAAUAUAGCAUUCAUAAGCAUAUGGAAUACUGUUCAAUACAGUAACUGUCAUCCAAAAUGUUACAAUAGUUUACAGCAGGUAAUACUAACAGAGAGCACUGUAAUAUUGACAACAUGACUAAGCAUUUUGACUAUCUUGUUUGUGAACAAUGACACAAGGACUUUUCAUUCUGAUGGUACUGAUAUGUUCAUUGUCAUAAAUGCUUGCUUUUGAGAGAUGUACUAAAGAUUCUGAGUAAGUUACAGGCUUUUGCGGGUAAUCCAUUGUGUGGUGCUGUUUGUACGAAUUGUUUUGAGAAAUGCACAUACUUCUUUGCAAAUAUUAAGGAUGAUUCGAGAAAUGCACCAAAGUGACCGAGAAAAACUGUAAUGCAAAACGUAUGCUUCAUUUAUUAUGUUAUUAACACUUGAGAAAAAGAAACUCUACCAGAUGUUUUCUCCUAAUUACACAACUAAUUGUGUUGACAGUAUUUAACUUAGAUAAUCAGGUGUGAAAAUGUAUUCUAUACUACUGUUAAAAAAGGUUGGGGUCAGAAAUAUUUUUCUGAAAGCAAUUCAUACUUUUAUUUAUCAAAGAUGCAUUAAAUUUAGCAAAAGUGACAGUAAAGACGUUACAGAAGUUUUAGAUUUCAAAUAAAUGAUGUUCUUUUGAACUUUAUAUUCAUCAAAGAUUCUAAUUAAAUAAAUCCAUAAAAAUAUGAAGCAGAACAACAAUACUAUUAAUAAUAAUACUGAUACUGAUGCUGAAACUGUAGCUUUGCAUCUCGGGAAGACAUUUUAAAAGGUAUUGAAAUAGAAAACUGUUAUUUUAAAUAGCAAAACUAUUUCAAAAUAUUACUGUUUUUAUCAAAUAAUUUUGAUCUAUAUAUGAUGAUGAGCAUAAGAGACUUCUUUCAAAAACAUUAACACGUCUUACAGACCCCAAACUUUUUAAUGAUAGUGUAAAUAUCAGUGAAUAAAUAGGCAUAAUUAGUCAUGUUUCUUUAUAUUUUGUUGUAAACCUUGUUUUGGACUAAUGAAACUCUGCUGUUGUGUGGGUGUUGAAUUUCUUAGAAAUGUAAUUCAACUUCUCUUCCUGUUAUUGCAAUUCAACUUCCAAUUCCAAUAAAUCUCCAACUCCUGAACUGAGUGGAAUUUAAGUUCAUUAACUGAAACAAAAUGCUGCAUGUUUUUUUAAAACAAUUUAGAAUGUUUCAUUAAUUGAACAUUCUAUUAGAAUAGAUGGCACUGAGCUGAGGUCAGGUUAAGGAAUGGUGCUUGCUUAUGGAGGUGACAUCACCAUGGCUUCAGCUGCCAAUGAGAGAAUAAUCUUUCAGUAUACAGCCAUAAUAUCUAAUUAAAACUUAAGAAGAUGCUCCACCGGGUCAGCUGACAUUUAAUCAAUAACAGACAUGAUGGAUGAAUGCAGCAGCUGCUUUAAAGAGCAGUGCGGAGAAUAAAAACAAAGUGAUAAAUAGAUAACAGAAUUCACUGUAGCCACAUGAAAAUCCAUUUUGAGCCGAAUGAAUGGUCUUUAGAAGGACUAACCUUAAAUCCUGUUCUCACCUUUUCUUUGUAACCUUCAUUACAGGGAGAGACUGAGGAUAGGGAUUUAAAAGAUCCAUGUCGGUCUCCUCGUGAAGCGCUUGUGGUCCGGUAUCACUCCUGUCUGGCUGGAGCCGAAUGAGCUGCUCGAUGAAGCUGAUUGCAUUUCACUCCUGUUGUUUGGCCUUUGUGCCGAAUCCACAAGAGCACACAUUAGAUCUAUAGACAACAACCAGAGAAUAUUGACAUGGCUGGUUACAGACCAUUAGUGUUUACUCUGUCAAAAUGUGCUACUAACUACAUUUUUGGAGUGGAGGACAUCUGUGGUUCCCAUGAAAAUUACAUAAUUAACAGGCCUGGAAAUAUAUUGGAAGUUUCUAGUCUAGGGUGACAUUAAAAAUGCAUAUGCAGUAAUCACAAGCAACUUAGUAAUGUAAAUUAAUUGAUUUAAGGGUGUGGGAAUCAUAAACAACCUACUUGGAAAGAUGCUUGUUGGUGAAUCUCAAAAAAUAAAAGUUAAAAGUUAAUUUUUAUUUUGUAAAAAUAAGUGAAAAUGUUUACUGAAAAUAUUUUUAAAAAUACACAUUCCAGUAAUGAAAAAAGUGCAGAAUUUGCAUCGAAACAAUUUUCAUUCAGAAAUUGCUAUUUGGUCAAUAAUUGCAAAGAAAUGGCAAGUAACACAUUGAAUUAAAUGUGACAUUUUUAACAUUUGAAAUUAUUUUGGAUAAAUGUCUAAUCAGGUGAGAAAAUCUUUUAUUUUUCAAUUCAUUUUUCAGUAAGGAUGCAUUAAAU
rnacentral:lncRNA from 12 species